UACGAGGGGGGCAAGCGUUGUCCGGAAUCACUGGGCGUAAAGAGCUCGUAGGUGGUUUGUCGCGUUGUUCGUGAAAUCUCACGGCUUAACUGUGAGCGUGCGGGCGAUACGGGCAGACUUGAGUACUGCAGGGGAGACUGGAAUUCCUGGUGUAGCGGUGGAAUGCGCAGAUAUCAGGAGGAACACCGGUGGCGAAGGCGGGUCUCUGGGCAGUAACUGACGCUGAGGAGCGAAAGCGUGGGGAGCGAACAGG
rnacentral:rRNA from 1 species